rnacentral:rRNA from 1 species
GCGCGAAUGGAGCAAUCCUAGUAGAGCGGCGCACGGGUGCGUAACACGUGGAUAAUCUGCCUGGGUGUCUGGGAUAACCAGUCGAAAGACUGGCUAAUACCGGAUAAGCCCCCGGGAGCUUCGGCUCUUGAGGGAAAAGGUGGCCUCUGUAUACAAGCUAUCACAUUCAGAUGAGUCCGCGGCCCAUCAGCUAGUUGGCGGGGUAAUGGCCCACCAAGGCGACGACGGGUAGCUGGUCUGAGAGGACGAUCAGCCACACUGGAACUGAGACACGGUCCAGACUCCUACGGGAGGCAGCAGUGGGGAAUUUUGCGCAAUGGGCGAAAGCCUGACGCAGCAACGCCGCGUGUGUGAUGAAGGUCUUCGGAUUGUAAAGCACUUUCGACCGGGACGAAAACCCACUGGCUAACAUCCAAUGGCUUGACGGUACCGGGAGAAGAAGCACCGGCUAACUCUGUGCCAGCAGCCGCGGUAAUACAGAGGGUGCAAGCGUUG